UGGGGAAUUUUYCGCAAUGGGCGAAAGCCUGACGGAGCAACGCCGCGUGAGGGAUGAAGGCCUCUGGGCUGUAAACCUCUUUUAUCAAGGAAGAAGAUCUGACGGUACUUGAUGAAUAAGCCACGGCUAAUUCCGUGCCAGCAGCCGCGGUAAUACGGGAGUGGCAAGCGUUAUCCGGAAUUAUUGGGCGUAAAGCGUCCGCAGGCGGCCCUACAAGUCUGCUGUUAAAAAGUGGAGCUUAACUCCAUCAUGGCAGUGGAAACUGUUGGGCUCGAGUGUGGUAGGGGCAGAGGGAAUUCCCGGUGUAGCGGUGAAAUGCGUAGAUAUCGGGAAGAACACCAGUGGCGAAGGCGCUCUGCUGGGCCAUCACUGACGCUCAUGGACGAAAGCCAGGGGAGCGAAAGGGAUUAGAUACCCCUGUAGUCCUGGCCGUAAACGAUGAACACUAGGUGUCGGGGGAAUCGACCCCUCCGGUGUCGUAGCCAACGC
rnacentral:rRNA from 1 species